rnacentral:rRNA from 1 species
GAGCGGAUUGAAGGGAGCUUGCUCCCUGAUAUUAGCGGCGGACGGGUGAGUAACACGUGGGCAACCUGCCCUGCAGAUGGGGAUAACUCCGGGAAACCGGGGCUAAUACCGAAUAAUCAGUUCUUCCGCAUGGAAGAACUCUGAAAGACGGUUUCGGCUGUCACUGCAGGAUGGGCCCGCGGCGCAUUAGCUAGUUGGUGGGGUAACGGCCUACCAAGGCGACGAUGCGUAGCCGACCUGAGAGGGUGAUCGGCCACACUGGGACUGAGACACGGCCCAGACUCCUACGGGAGGCAGCAGUAGGGAAUCUUCCACAAUGGACGAAAGUCUGAUGGAGCAACGCCGCGUGAGCGAAGAAGGUUUUCGGAUCGUAAAGCUCUGUUGCGAGGGAAGAACAAGUACGGGAGUAACUGCCCGUACCUUGACGGUACCUCGUCAGAAAGCCACGGCUAACUACGUGCCAACAGCCGCGGUAAUACGUAGGUGGCAAGCGUUGUCCGGAAUUAUUGGGCGUAAAGGUCGCUCACGCUGCCCUUUAAGUCUGAUGUGAAAGCCGACAGGUCUCUUCUGGAGGGUCAUUAUAAACUGGAGUACUCGACCGCUUAAGAGGAACCCCGACUUUUACUUGGAGUGGCGACAUUCGUACAGA